CAGUCGCCGCGGGAAUACGAAGGGGGCUAGCGUUGUUCGGAUUUACUGGGCGUAAAGGGCGCGUAGGCGGAUUUGUAAGUCAGGGGUGAAAUCCCGAGGCUCAACCUCGGAACUGCCUUUGAUACUGUGGAUCUUGAGUCCGGGAGAGGUGAGUGGAACUGCGAGUGUAGAGGUGAAAUUCGUAGAUAUUCGCAAGAACACCAGUGGCGAAGGCGGCUCACUGGCCCGGAACUGACGCUGAGGCGCGAAAGCGUGGGGAGCAAACAGGAUUAGAUACCCCAGUAGUCCCUGUCUCUUAUAC
rnacentral:rRNA from 1 species